GGGUUUUGUUGGAGAGUUUGAUCCUGGCUCAGGACGAACGCUGGCGGCGUGCUUAACACAUGCAAGUCGAGCGGUAAGGCCUUUCGG
rnacentral:rRNA from 1 species